UUGCUGACCCAGACGUAGCCAAGCUUUGUCCUCUGUCUGGUUUUCUUCCAUUCUUUUGUCCCUUCGUCCCACCCUCUCAGAAGCAUCCUGAAGCAAGAUCCAGUGAACACAGAUGUAGAGCAGGGGAAGAAAGCUCGCAAUGGCAAGAUGUUGAAGCAAGUGCUGUGUAGGCAGUAGAAGUCCUGAAAUGACCACGUAACUCCAGCUGUGUGAGACGGUGUUAGAGAAUCCCAUCAGAGUAGCCAAAUGACCCCUUUCUGGAGACUGGUUUGUGCUGCCUGAAAACUGUGGACUGGUUCUCUAUUUCGAAUUCCUUACCGCGAGCUUCAUUUUACUUGGCAGAUCAAAGACCUCUAAUGCUCCACUCUGGAGAUUAGGAAGGGAACAGCAGCCCCUCCCUAACCAAGCAGAUAAUUAGAGCUGUGAAGGGCAAAGCACAGCCAGCAGUUACCUGUAUCUCAGGCUAGGAGAUUGGAACCCUGCGCUGCUACUGGACUUGUUUUGCAUUCCCCUUCCUCUCU